UACGUAGGGAGCCAGCGUUGUCCGGAAUCAUUGGGCGUAAAGCGCGCGUAGGCGGCCCGGUAAGUCCGCUCUGAAAGUCCAGGGCUCAACCCUGGAAAGCGGGUGGAUACUGCCGGGCUAGAGUCCGGAAGAGGCGAGUGGAAUUCCUGGGUGUAGCGGUGGAAUGCGCAGAUAUCAGGAGGAACACCGGUGGCGAAGGCGGGUCUCUGGGCAGUAACUGACGCUGAGGAGCGAAAGCGUGGGGAGCGAACAGG
rnacentral:rRNA from 1 species